rnacentral:ncRNA from 1 species
GAGAUAGAGGUCGCAUUUUUCAUGAGUACGAUGACGGAUGUAUCAGGAACAGUUGAACUCACCGGAAAGGGGAAGAUGCCGAAAGGGUAAAAAUCCUGAAGUUUUAUCCUUGGGCAUGUCGUGAACAGCGGCAUGACUGUCAUCGCAGGAUGGAGUGCUAUCUGG